GUGGGGAAUUUUGCGCAAUGGGCGGAAGCCUGACGCAGCAACGCCGCGUGGGUGAUGAAGGUCUUCGGAUCGUAAAACCCUGUCGUCGGGGACGAAGGUGCGGGUCUUAACACGGCCUGUGCUUGACGGUACCCGGAGAGGAAGCCCCGGCUAACUCUGUGCCAGCAGCCGCGGUAAUACAGAGGGGGCGAGCGUUAUUCGGAAUUAUUGGGCGUAAAGGGCGCGUAGGCGGUUCUUUAAGUCAGAUGUGUAAUCCCCGAGCUUAACUUGGGAACUGCAUCUGAGACUGGAGGGCUAGAGUGCUGGAGAGGGUGGUGGAAUUCCGCGUGUAGCGGUGAAAUGCGUAGAGAUGUGGAGGAACACCAGUGGCGAAGGCGGCCACCUGGACAGCAACUGACGCUGAGGCGCGAAAGUGUGGGGAGCAAACAGGAUUAGAAACCCCGGUAGUCC
rnacentral:rRNA from 1 species